rnacentral:rRNA from 1 species
UACGUAUGGUGCAAGCGUUAUCCGGAUUUACUGGGUGUAAAGGGAGCGCAGGCGGCGCGCUAAGUCUGAUGUGAAAGCCCGGGGCUCAACCGCGGGACUGCAUUGGAAACUGGCGCGCUGGAGUGCCGGAGAGGUAAGCGGAAUUCCUAGUGUAGCGGUGAAAUGCGUAGAUAUUAGGAGGAACACCAGUGGCGAAGGCGGCUUACUGGACGGUGACUGACGCUGAGGCUCGAAAGCGUGGGGAGCAAACAGG